UCUACGGGUGGCUGCAGUGGGGAAUAUUGCGCAAUGGGCGCAAGCCUGACGCAGCGACGCCGCGUGAGGGAUGAAGGUCUUCGGAUCGUAAAGCUCUGUCAGCAGGGAAGAACGGUCUUUGUGCUAAUCACCAGUGAAUUGACGGUACCUGCAAAGGAAGCACCGGCUAACUCCGUGCCAGCAGCCGCGGUAAUACGGAGGGUGCGAGCGUUAAUCGGAAUUACUGGGCGUAAAGCGCUCGUAGGCGGUAUGUCAAGUCAGGGGUGAAAGCCCCGCGCUUAACGUGGGAAUUGCCUUUGAUACUGGGAAGCUAGAGUGUGUGAGAGGGUAGUGGAAUUCCAGGUGUAGGGGUGAAAUCCGUAGAUAUCUGGAGGAACAUCGGUGGCGAAGGCGACUAUCUGGCACAUAACUGACGCUGAGGAGCGAAAGCGUGGGUAGCAAACAGGAUUAGAUACCCCAGUAGUC
rnacentral:rRNA from 1 species